GAGCCGCCGGGGCCAGGGUCACCCUGAGCUGAGACGGCGCCGCUAUGUUGGAACGGUUCGUGGGCCCGCGCUACCGCCAGCUGGCCAGAAACUGGUUACCCACAGUGGGCAUGUGGGGCACCGUGGGAGCCAUGGGGCUGGUGUGGGCCACUGACUGGCGGCUGAUUCUGGACUGGGUGCCCUACAUCAAUGGCAAGUUCAAGAAGGACGAUUAAUUAAACCCAUCACCCUCGGACCCCUCCGGUGUCUGGUGGUGCUGCCCCCUUCCAUCUGCAUCUGGAACGGCCCAGGCUCUUGGGAUUGACCUCGAGGAAAUACACGGCGCGAGUUAGGUUUCCGACGCUGGUGGAAAUAACCUUGGUGUGUGAACACACAUGGCAUUAAACCUCACCCUGAAACCUGCUGGCCUGCAUGUGCUCAUGCUGGGGCUUGGUUAUGUUGACUGCAGGCCCAGGGGCCCAGAUGACCCGGGGAGCCUUUCAACUCCAAAACUGCAAAUCUGCAGUUUCCCAGCGGCUGGCAGACAUGGUUUGAUUACUUCAGAUGUUUAGUGGAUAAUAUCUGCACGGGGUUUUUAUCGAUCGCUGCCUUAAAAAGUUACCCUUGACCUAGGGGCUCAAGACACACAUUCAUUAUCUCUCAGUGAGAAUUUGGGAGUGAUCUGUCUGGGGGGUUCUUGGCUGAGGGUCCCUCAUGAGGUUGCAGUAGUGGCAUUGGCUGCAUGAUGAAGGGUGGCACCAGGGUGGGGUGGGGAGUCGGGGCUUCCAGGAGGCCCCCUCACGUGGCUCCUCCCCACGUGGGCCUCCCAGACGCUGCUUGAGCCUCUCUACUACACAGCGGCCCGAGAGCAGGCAGGGAAGAGCCUCUGUGCCUUUUAUGACCUACUCAGGACUCUCAGGCCAUCUCCUGCUCCACACCUUAUUCGGGAGGAGAAUUAGGCUCUGUGCCUUGAAGGAGGAACAUCAGAACCUGUAGACGUGUUAAACCAUCACCGGGGAUACAAAAAUGAGCGGGUACACGAGGAUAUACUGCAUACAGGCAGUUCCCUCCAACUCCUGCCAAGUUCUGGAAAAUUCUAGAAACGUUCUAUUUGUGAAGAAGAGCUAUUUUAUUAGUCUGUUUGGGCUUCCACAACAAAACACAGGCCAGGCAGCUUAAGCUACAGAAUGAACGUCUCACAGUUCUGGAGGCUGGAAGUCUGAGCUCAGUUCUGGCAGGGUUGGUUCCUGGCGAGGGCCCGCCUCCUGGCCUGCAGACAGCCCCCUUCUCACUGCAUCCUCACGUGGCCUCUCCUUGAUGUGAGCAAGUGAUCUCUCCAGGGACUCUGAGGACAUGCUAAUUCUAGGGGACCAGGGCCACACCCUUCUGACCUCAUUUAACCUUAAUUGUUUCGGGGGGGGGGCAUCUCCACAUACAGCCACACUGGGGGUUAGGGUGUCAGCAUAUACAUUUCAGGGAGACACUUUCAGUCCACAGCAGCUUUGUAUAUUUUAACACAAGUAGUGGCAUGUUCUACACACUUUUCUGCACAAACAUUUUACACCUAUGGCUUAUUUCCUGGAAGCCAUGCCACUUUGGAAAGCACAAAGCAUCAUGAAAAAGUCUACAAAUAAGGGAUUUCCCUGGUGGUCCAGUGGUUAAGAAUCCACCUUGCAGUGCAGGGGUUGCAGGUUCGAUCUUAGUUCGGGGAACUAAGAUCCCACAUGCUGUGGGACAACUAAGCCUGUGUGCCCCAACCAGAAGCCUGCAACGAAAGAUCCUGCGUGCCACAACUAAGACCCAAAGCAGCCAAAUAAAUAUUUUUAAAAAGUCUGCAAACAAAUGCUGGAGAGGGUGUGGAGAAAAGGGAACCCUCCUAACACUAUACCAAUUGGUAGGAAUGUAAACUGGUGCAGACACUAUGGAGAACAGUUUGGAGGUUCCUUUAAAAACUAAAAAUAGAAUUACCAUAUGAUACAGUGAUUCCACUCUUAGGCAUAUAUCUGGAAAAGAUGAAAACUAAUUCAAAAAGAUACAUGGAGGGCUUCCCUGGUGGCACAGUGGUUAAGAAUCCGCCUGCCAAUGCAGGGGACACGGGUUUGAGCCCUGGUCCGGGAAGAUCCCACAUGUCGCGAAGCAACUAAGCCCGUGCGCCACGACUACUGAGCCUGCGCUCUAGAGCCCACAAGCCACAACUACUGAGCCUGCGCUCUAGAGCCCGUGCGCCACAACUACUGAAGCCCGCGUGCCUAGAGCCUGUGCUCCGCAACGAGAAGCCACUGCAAUGAGAAGCCCGUGCACCGCAACAGAGUAGCCCCCACUUCCUGCAACUAGAGAAAGCCCGCGCGCAGCAACAAAGACCCGAUGCAGCCAAAAAUAAAUAAAUACACUUAUUAAAAGAAAAAAAAAGAUACAUGGACCCCAAUGUUCAUAGCAGCACUAGUUACAAUAGCCAAGGCAUGGAAGCAACCUAAAUGCCCAUUGACAGAGGAAUGGAUAAUGUGGUGCAUGUACACAGUGGACUAUUACUCAGCCAUAAAAAAAGGAUGAAGUAUUGCCAUUUGCAGCAACAUGGAUGAACCUAGAGAUUAUCAUACUAAGUGAUGUAAGCCAGACAAAGACAAAUAUCAUAUGAUAUCACCUAUAUGUGGAAUCUAAAAAGAUGAUACAAAUGAACUUAUUUACAAAACAAAUAGGCUCACAGACAGAAAACAAACUUAGGGUUACCAAAGGGGAAAGGGGGGAAGGGAGGGAUAAGUUAGGAGUUUGGGAUUAACAUACAUUGCUAUAAAUGAAAUAGAUAAACAACAAGAACCUACUCUAGCACAGGGAACUACAGUCAAUAUAAUAAACCAUAAUG
ensembl:lncRNA